rnacentral:rRNA from 5 species
GGGUUGUGAGGUUAAGCGACUAAGCGUACACGGUGGAUGCCCUGGCAGUCAGAGGCGAUGAAGGGCGUGCUAAUCUGCGAUAAGCGCCGGUAAGGUGAUAUGAACCGUUAUAACCGGCGAUACCCGAAUGGGGAAACCCAGUGUGAUUCGUCACACUAUCAUUAACUGAAUCCAUAGGUUAAUGAGGCGAACCGGGGGAACUGAAACAUCUAAGUACCCCGAGGAAAAGAAAUCAACCGAGAUUCCCCCAGUAGCGGCGAGCGAACGGGGAGGAGCCCAGAGCCUGAAUCAGCAUGUGUGUUAGUGGAAGCGUCUGGAAAGGCGCGCGAUACAGGGUGACAGCCCCGUACACAAAAGCGCAUGUGCUGUGAGCUCGAUGAGUAGGGCGGGACACGUGGUAUCCUGUCUGAAUAUGGGGGGACCAUCCUCCAAGGCUAAAUACUCCUGACUGACCGAUAGUGAACCAGUACCGUGAGGGAAAGGCGAAAAGAACCCCGGCGAGGGGAGUGAAAAAGAACCUGAAACCGUGUACGUACAAGCAGUGGGAGCACAGGUUUACCUGUGUGACUGCGUACCUUUUGUAUAAUGGGUCAGCGACUUAUAUUCUGUAGCAAGGUUAACCGUAUAGGGGAGCCGGAGGGAAACCGAGUCUUAACCGGGCGUUAAGUUGCAGGGUAUAGACCCGAAACCCGGUGAUCUAGCCAUGGGCAGGUUGAAGGUUGGGUAACACUAACUGGAGGACCGAACCGACUAAUGUUGAAAAAUUAGCGGAUGACCUGUGGCUGGGGGUGAAAGGCCAAUCAAACCGGGAGAUAGCUGGUUCUCCCCGAAAGCUAUUUAGGUAGCGCCUCGUGAAUUCAUCUCCGGGGGUAGAGCACUGUUUCGGCUAGGGGGCCAUCCCGGCUUACCAACCCGAUGCAAACUGCGAAUACCGGAGAAUGUUAUCACGGGAGACACACGGCGGGUGCUAACGUCCGUCGUGAAGAGGGAAACAACCCAGACCGCCAGCUAAGGUCCCAAAGUCAUGGUUAAGUGGGAAACGAUGUGGGAAGGCCCAGACAGCCAGGAUGUUGGCUUAGAAGCAGCCAUCAUUUAAAGAAAGCGUAAUAGCUCACUGGUCGAGUCGGCCUGCGCGGAAGAUGUAACGGGGCUAAACCAUGCACCGAAGCUGCGGCAGCGACGUUUAUGUGUUGUUGGGUAGGGGAGCGUUCUGUAAGCCUGUGAAGGUGUGUCGUGAGGCAUGCUGGAGGUAUCAGAAGUGCGAAUGCUGACAUAAGUAACGAUAAAGCGGGUGAAAAGCCCGCUCGCCGGAAGACCAAGGGUUCCUGUCCAACGUUAAUCGGGGCAGGGUGAGUCGACCCCUAAGGCGAGGCCGAAAGGCGUAGUCGAUGGGAAACGGGUUAAUAUUCCCGUACUUGGUGUUACUGCGAAGGGGGGACGGAGAAGGCUAUGUUGGCCGGGCGACGGUUGUCCCGGUUUAAGCGUGUAGGCUGGUUUUCCAGGCAAAUCCGGAAAAUCAAGGCUGAGGCGUGACGACGAGGCACUACGGUGCUGAAGCAACAAAUGCCCUGCUUCCAGGAAAAGCCUCUAAGCAUCAGGUAACAUCAAAUCGUACCCCAAACCGACACAGGUGGUCAGGUAGAGAAUACCAAGGCGCUUGAGAGAACUCGGGUGAAGGAACUAGGCAAAAUGGUGCCGUAACUUCGGGAGAAGGCACGCUGACACGUAGGUGAAGUGAUUUACUCAUGGAGCUGAAGUCAGUCGAAGAUACCAGCUGGCUGCAACUGUUUAUUAAAAACACAGCACUGUGCAAACACGAAAGUGGACGUAUACGGUGUGACGCCUGCCCGGUGCCGGAAGGUUAAUUGAUGGGGUCAGCGCAAGCGAAGCUCCUGAUCGAAGCCCCGGUAAACGGCGGCCGUAACUAUAACGGUCCUAAGGUAGCGAAAUUCCUUGUCGGGUAAGUUCCGACCUGCACGAAUGGCGUAAUGAUGGCCAGGCUGUCUCCACCCGAGACUCAGUGAAAUUGAACUCGCUGUGAAGAUGCAGUGUACCCGCGGCAAGACGGAAAGACCCCGUGAACCUUUACUAUAGCUUGACACUGAACAUUGAGCCUUGAUGUGUAGGAUAGGUGGGAGGCUUUGAAGCGUGGACGCCAGUCUGCGUGGAGCCGACCUUGAAAUACCACCCUUUAAUGUUUGAUGUUCUAACGUGGACCCGUAAUCCGGGUUGCGGACAGUGUCUGGUGGGUAGUUUGACUGGGGCGGUCUCCUCCUAAAGAGUAACGGAGGAGCACGAAGGUUGGCUAAUCCUGGUCGGACAUCAGGAGGUUAGUGCAAUGGCAUAAGCCAGCUUGACUGCGAGCGUGACGGCGCGAGCAGGUGCGAAAGCAGGUCAUAGUGAUCCGGUGGUUCUGAAUGGAAGGGCCAUCGCUCAACGGAUAAAAGGUACUCCGGGGAUAACAGGCUGAUACCGCCCAAGAGUUCAUAUCGACGGCGGUGUUUGGCACCUCGAUGUCGGCUCAUCACAUCCUGGGGCUGAAGUAGGUCCCAAGGGUAUGGCUGUUCGCCAUUUAAAGUGGUACGCGAGCUGGGUUUAGAACGUCGUGAGACAGUUCGGUCCCUAUCUGCCGUGGGCGCUGGAGAACUGAGGGGGGCUGCUCCUAGUACGAGAGGACCGGAGUGGACGCAUCACUGGUGUUCGGGUUGUCAUGCCAAUGGCACUGCCCGGUAGCUAAAUGCGGAAGAGAUAAGUGCUGAAAGCAUCUAAGCACGAAACUUGCCCCGAGAUGAGUUCUCCCUGAGACUUAGAGUCUCCUGAAGGAACGUUGAAGACGACGACGUUGAUAGGCCGGGUGUGUAAGCGCAGCGAUGCGUUGAGCUAACCGGUACUAAUGAACCGUGAGGCUUAACCUUACAACGCCGAAG